UGCGGAGUGAAGCAGUUGGCAGCUUGUCAGGCUCAUAACCUGAAUGUCGUGAGUUCGAGUCUCACCUCCGCGACCA
rnacentral:tRNA from 1 species